GCCGCGUGUAUGAAGAAGGCCUUCGGGUUGUAAAGUACUUUCAGUCGUGAGGAAGGCGGNGUCGUUAAUAGCGGCAUCGUUUGACGUUAGCGACAGAAGAAGCACCGGCUAACUCCGUGCCAGCAGCCGCGGUAAUACGGAGGGUGCGAGCGUUAAUCGGAAUUACUGGGCGUAAAGCGCAUGCAGGUGGUUUGUUAAGUCAGAUGUGAAAGCCCGGGGCUCAACCUCGGAAUAGCAUUUGAAACUGGCAGACUAGAGUACUGUAGAGGGGGGUAGAAUUUCAGGUGUAGCGGUGAAAUGCGUAGAGAUCUGAAGGAAUACCGGUGGCGAAGGCGGCCCCCUGGACAGAUACUGACACUCAGAUGCGAAAGCGUGGGGAGCAAACAGGAUUAGAUACCCUGGUAGUCCACGCCGUAAACGAUGUCUACUUGGAGGUUGUGGCCUUGAGCCGUGGCUUUCGGAGCUAACGCGUUAAGUAGACCGCCUGGGGAGUACGGUCGCAAGAUUAAAACUCAAAUGAAUUGACGGGGGCCCGCACAAGCGGUGGAGCAUGUGGUUUAAUUCGAUGCAACGCGAAGAACCUUACCUACUCUUGACAUCCAGAGAACUUUCCAGAGAUGGAUUGGUGCCUUCGGGAACUCUGAGACAGGUGCUGCAUGGCUGUCGUCAGCUCGUGUUGUGAAAUGUUGGGUUAAGUCCCGCAACGAGCGCAACCC
rnacentral:rRNA from 1 species